UACAGAGGUCUCAACCGUUGAUCGGAUUCAUUGGGCGUAAAGGGUGCGUAGGCGGUCGCGUAAGUCAGGUGUGAAAUCUCAGGGCUCAACCCUGAAACUGCACUUGAUACUGCGUGGCUCGGGUACUGGAGAGGAGACUGGAAUUUACGGUGUAGCAGUGAAAUGCGUAGAUAUCGUGAGGAACACCAGAGGCGAAGGCGGUUACCUGGACAGUUACUGACGCUCAGGCACGAAAGCAUGGGGAGCAAAAGGG
rnacentral:rRNA from 1 species